UGGUUGUGAUCAAUAUCAAGAGACCCAAGAAGUUUCUCAGCUCCUUUCCUGCUGUCAAUGAACUGACCCUCAGGGAUGGCAGCAGGAUUCAGGAUGCGAUAUCUGGAAAUGAAAAAAACAAUAAUGUCUCAAAGAAUAAUAUUGAACUUUUGUUUGCAAUUAUAACAUAUCGGGCUAAAAUUAGAUUAAACCUCUGUUUGAAAUCUCCAUAGAGGAUCCUGUUGGGGAAGCCCUUUCUGCAGAUCCUGAUGCCUUCCAGCACACCGUUACAGCGCAGCUGGUGCAUCACCAGAGGGUUCUCCAUGGCCCCAGGAGUCUUGGUCUCAUUGGGGAUGAUGCAGCGUACAAAGUGAGGUGACUUUGUCUCCAUCUCGGCUGGUGAUGGUUGCCUUCACAAACUCCUCCACUGGAUCCGGGACAAAACAUUCCUUCUUGAUGUCGAAGAUGCGCGUCGAGGCCUCCAUACGCUCCUUGUCCGACUUCCUCAGCUCCUCCAUGUGCUUCCUGUUUGGCUCUCUGCUUUGGAACAUUUUCAGCAGCUGGCCGGAGCAGAUGAGAUCAGAUGAGGCGGGCAGCUGUUUGUGUUUUCAGUCAGUGAGGAUUAGAGGUGUGAUCCACAGCUGACAGACCCUCAGGAUGCCUGGACGCCACACACACCACAACCUUUAAUGGAUCUGAGCUGGAGGAGGGAGAGAAUGUGCUGCUUCAUGCCUCGGACAAUGAUUCAGUUCACACCUGAUUUAUUAGCACUUUUAAUUGGCUGAUUAAAACAAGUACGAUGUUCAGUGUUCAGCCUCUGGUAGAGCUGUUUAUAGGACACCAGAGAAACUGAACUAUAGUGACUUUGUCUCAACUUUAUCAAACUGACUGGAACAAUGAUUAUGAUGACACUUGUAUUGGUAUUGAUUAUUACUAUUUUCUUCUAUGAUGAUAUGAUUCUUUGUGAUUUCUUGUUUUUGUUCCCUAUUAAAAAAUCUUUAAAAUACUA